GACGAACGCUGGCGGCGUGCUUAACACAUGCAAGUCGAACGGAAAGGCCCUGCUUUUGUGGGGUGCUCGAGUGGCGAACGGGUGAGUAACACGUGAGUAACCUGCCCUUGACCUUGGGAUAACUUCAGGAAACUGGGGCUAAUACCGGAUAGGAGCUCCUGCUGCAUGGUGGGGGUUGGAAAGUUUCGGCGGUUGGGGAUGGACUCGCGGCUUAUCAGCUUGUUGGUGGGGUAGUGGCUUACCAAGGCUUUGACGGGUAGCCGGCCUGAGAGGGUGACCGGCCACAUUGGGACUGAGAUGCGGCCCAGACUCCUACGGGAGGCAGCAGUGGGGAAUAUUGCACAAUGGGCGGAAGCCUGAUGCAGCAACGCCGCGUGCGGGAUGACGGCCUUCGGGUUGUAAACCGCUUUCGCCUGUGACGAAGCGUGAGUGACGGUAAUGGGUAAAGAAGCACCGGCUAACUACGUG
rnacentral:rRNA from 1 species